CCUACGGGAGACAGCAGUAGGGAAUCUUCCACAAUGGACGAAAGUCUGAUGGAGCAACGCCGCGUGAGUGAAGAAGGGCUUCGGCUCGUAAAGCCCUGUUGGUAGUGAAGAAAGAUAGAGGUAGUAACUGGUCUUUAUUUGACGGUAAUUACUUAGAAAGUCACGGCUAACUACGUGCCAGCAGCCGCGGUAAUACGUAGGUGGCAAGCGUUGUCCGGAUUUAUUGGGCGUAAAGGGAGUGCAGGCGGUUCAAUAAGUCUGAUGUGAAAGCCUUCGGCUCAACCGGAGAAUUGCAUCAGAAACUGUUGAACUUGAGUGCAGAAGAGGAGAGUGGAACUCCAUGUGUAGCGGUGGAAUGCGUAGAUAUAUGGAAGAACACCAGUGGCGAAGGCGGCUCUCUGGUCUGCAACUGACGCUGAGGCUCGAAAGCAUGGGUAGCGAACAGGAUUAGAUACCCGGGUAGUC
rnacentral:rRNA from 1 species